CAGUGACACAAUUUUUGCCCUUUGGCUUGCCAGCUUACUCUACUAUUUUAGGCAUGGCUGGUUUAGAUCAGCUUUGGACGGGGUUAGGAGCACUGAUGGCACCCCAUAGUUGGGUUCAGCAGGCUCUUGCCCUAGCAGGGCCACCACUGGUGGUAGAGCACUUCUGGGACUGCAUAUGAACAUCCUCUUCCUUGCCAUCCCUGGUGUGAAAAUGGAAGCUUCACCUACUUCUCUCUCUCAUUUUACACUUGAAGCAAAAUGAAAACCAGAAAGUGG